rnacentral:rRNA from 1 species
CGUGCCUUACACAUGCAAGUCGAACGGCAGCACGGGAGCUUGCUCCUGGUGGCGAGUGGCGAACGGGUGAGUAACACGUGGGAACGUGCCUUUAGGUUCGGAAUAGCUCCUGGAAACGGGUGGUAAUGCCGAAUGUGCCCUUCGGGGGAAAGAUUUAUCGCCUUUAGAGCGGCCCGCGUCUGAUUAGCUAGUUGGGGAGGUAAUGGCUCACCAAGGCGACGAUCAGUAGCUGGUCUGAGAGGAUGACCAGCCACAUUGGGACUGAGACACGGCCCAAACUCCUACGGGAGGCAGCAGUAAGGAAUAUUGGACAAUGGCCGCAAGGCUGAUCCAGCCAUCCAGCGUGCAGGAAGAAGGCCCUAUGGGUUGUAAACUGCUUUUAUCAGGGAAGAAACCUCUGGAUUUACUCCGGAGCUGACGGUACCUGAAGAAUAAGCACCGGCUAACUCCGUGC